UACGUAGGGUGCAAGCGUUGUCCGGAAUUAUUGGGCGUAAAGAGCUCGUAGGCGGCUUGUCGCGUCGGCUGUGAAAACCUGGGGCUCAACCCCGGGCCUGCAGUGGGUACGGGCAGACUAGAGUGCUGUAGGGGAGACUGGAAUUCCUGGUGUAACGGUGAAAUGCGCAGAUAUCAGGAGGAACACCGGUGGCGAAGGCGGGUCUCUGGGCAGUAACUGACGCUGAGGAGCGAAAGCGUGGGGAGCAAACAGG
rnacentral:rRNA from 1 species